GGACCCGCACAAGCGGUGGAGCAUGUGGUUUAAUUCGAUGCAACGCGAAGAACCUUACCAACUCUUGACAUCCUCAUUGGGGAGGUCAGAGAUGACCUCUUUCAGUUCGGCUGGAUGAGUGACAGAUGCUGCAUGGCUGUCGUCAGCUCGUGUCGUGAGAUGUUGGGUUAAGUCCCGCAACGAGCGCAACCCUUGCCAUCAGUUGCCAGCAGGUUAAGCUGGGCACUCUGAUGGGACUGCCGGUGACAAGCCGGAGGAAGGUAGGGAUGACGUCAAGUCAUCACGGCUCUUACGAGUUGGGCUACACACGUGCUACAAUGGCGCCUACAGAGGGCAGCGAGAUAGUGAUAUCGAGCGAAUCUUAAAAAGGCGUCUCAGUUCAGAUUGUUCUCUGCAACUCGAGAACAUGAAGUUGGAAUCGCUAGUAAUCGCGGAUCAGCGUGCCG
rnacentral:rRNA from 1 species